UGAACGCUGGCGGUAUGCUUAACACAUGCAAGUCGAACGGAAACGAUACUAGCUUGCUAGUAGGCGUCGAGUGGCGGACGGGUGAGUAACGCGUAGGAAUCUGCCUGAUAGUGGGGGACAGCCCGAAGAAAUUCGGAUUAAUACCGCAUAAUCUAUUCGUAGUAAAGUGGGGGACUUUCGAGCCUCACGCUAUCAGAUGAGCCUGCGUAAGAUUAGCUUGUUGGUAGGGUAAAAGCCUACCAAGGCGACGAUCUUUAGCUGGUCUGAGAGGAUGAUCAGCCACAUCGGGACUGAGACACGGCCCGAACUCCUACGGGAGGCAGCAGUGGGGAAUAUUGGACAAUGGGGGCAACCCUGAUCCAGCAAUACCGCGUGUGUGAAGAAGGCCUGAGGGUUGUAAAGCACUUUCAAUUGUGAAGAAAAGUUAGCGGUUAAUAACCGUUAGCCUUGACGUUAACUUUAGAAGAAGCACCGGCUAACUCCGUGCCAGCAGCCGCGGUAAUACGGAGGGUGCAAGCGUUAAUCGGAAUUACUGGGCGUAAAGCGUGCGUAGGCGGUUUAUUAAGUCAGAUGUGAAAGCCCCGGGCUUAACCUGGGAACUGCAUUUGAAACUGGUCAACUAGAGUAUGGUAGAGGAAAGUGGAAUUUCUGGUGUAGCGGUGAAAUGCGUAGAUAUCAGAAGGAACAUCAAUGGCGAAGGCAGCUUUCUAGACCAAUACUGACGCUGAGGUACGAAAGCGUGGGUAGCAAACAGGAUUAGAUACCCUGGUAGUCCACGCCGUAAACGAUGAUAACUAGCCGUUGGGGGGAUUUACCCUUUAGUGGCGAAGCUAACGCGUUAAGUUAUCCGCCUGGGGAGUACGGCCGCAAGGUUAAAACUCAAAGGAAUUGACGGGGACCCGCACAAGCGGUGGAGCAUGUGGUUUAAUUCGAUGCAACGCGAAGAACCUUACCUGGUCUUGACAUCCUGCGAACUUUCUAGAAAUAGAUUGGUGCCUUCGGGAACGCAGUGACAGGUGCUGCAUGGCUGUCGUCAGCUCGUGUCGUGAGAUGUUGGGUUAAGUCCCGUAACGAGCGCAACCCCUAUCCUUAUUUGCCAGCACAUCAUGGUGGGAACUAUAAGGAGACUGCCGGUGAUAAACCGGAGGAAGGCGGGGACGACGUCAAGUCAUCAUGGCCCUUACGACCAGGGCUACACACGUGCUACAAUGGGAAGGACAAAGAGCCGCGAAGCCGCGAGGUGUAGCUAAUCUCAUAAACCUUUUCGUAGUCCGGAUUGGAGUCUGCAACUCGACUCCAUGAAGUCGGAAUCGCUAGUAAUCGUAGAUCAGAAUGCUACGGUGAAUACGUUCCCGGGUCUUGUACACACCGCCCGUCA
rnacentral:rRNA from 1 species